rnacentral:lncRNA from 1 species
UCUCUGCUUCUGCUUACUCACUUGUGUUUUUUUAUUGUCAUCUUUUACUCUGGUUGUGUUGCAGGAGGCGUUCUGGAUGGAUGGCAGCUGGAAGCCCUUCGCCAUAGCCCGCUCUUCUUCAACACUUAAGCAUUUACCUGGGCAUUAAGUAAUGAAAAUUUUGAAACCAUAUAUGAGGAAUACAUCCAUCUUGUACUACCUGUGUUUCCUUCUCAACAGUCACUUCUUAACUGAGGCUGGCAUCCAUGUCUUCAUUUUGGGCUGUGUCAGUGUAGGUCUCCCUAAAACAGAGGCCAACUGGAUAGAUGUAAGAUACGAUCUGGAGAAAAUUGAAAGUCUUAUUCAAAAAACAUAAAGAAAGAGAAAUGAAGAGGUGAAAGUCCUACGGUUCCUUUCAAAGUCCAAUCCCAGUGACUAUUGCCCUCGAGAUGCUCACCAUUUCCAUCCUGGAACCAAGACUUUCAGGGCAAUGAACACACGCACUGUAGCUGUGUAGGAGUGUCCACUCACUGGAUAUAACAAAUGCUCAUAGAGUGGGAAGCAUGCGAACCGUGAGGCGAACUGGAAAUGGGCAGAAGAGACCUCAGACAUUCUGUUGUGCUGUCUUUCUCUGUAACACAACUGCUCAAAAUGUUAUUUCUUUAAAAGCUAAUCUUAAAAAAGGUUGCAUUCUCUAUAAUUCCACUCUUUCACAUUCUUGAAAUGUUAAAGGUCUAGGAUUGGACAAGGGGGCGAAAACUGGUA